CACACACACACGAUCUGCUUUUAUCAAGCAUUCAAGAGCUAUCAGGUGUCUGUGUCAUAUUUCUCAAAUGGGGGGGGCGGCAGUGGUCAAAGGCGGCGUCCUUACCUUGGAUCUACUUGAGUAGCCCAUCGUCUUUGAGACGGAUGUGGGGAUCAAAGGGAAGCGACAGGGCUUGAGUUGAACACCGCAUUUAUUUCAGUUGUGUGUUUUGGAUGCUUGUCAUGUCAAGGAUCCUCUCUCCGUCACCUGCAAGUGAGCUGAUCUUUUCCAUCCCAACCCUCUCCUGGGCUCCCUCUCUAAAUCAAGAGCCUCUGAUAGAUGCAGCCGCUUUGUAUCUGCCCAGCAAAUAGUGGCCUUUUGUCCCACACAAGCUCCUAAACAAACUUAAUCUCUCUAACCCAGUGACAGAUGACAUUUCGAUGUCCUUGUCCUUCCCCCCCUUAAAAUGAGUUUUAUUGACAAUCAGGGAACAAAAAGAAGGCCUAGAGAAAGACCAAUGUUUUAUAGGCCUCAACAGCAUCUUUGUUCUCCCUACUGAGGGUGUGGAGAAAACUUGAAGUUGUGCUCACCCCCCACUUUUCCCCCUGCUUUGCAAUAUCACCAUGACAACAGAUAUAGAAAUCACUUAGUGACUCCGAGAAAGAAAACACACUGACACAGUCCCGCUUGUAUAGCGAAUCAAACUAAAGCCUUCAUUCAAAUGGCUAUUGAGCUUGGGCAUUCAUGUAGAGGAUGGGGUGGAUUUGACACAGGUAACUACAAGAGAAAGGCCAGCCUGAACUCCAGCCACAGCAUAUGGAGACAAAAUGACUUUAAAACUCUGCACUGUUUCCUGAGCCAGUCGACAAGACAAAAAGAAGUCCUUGUCAAGG
rnacentral:lncRNA from 1 species